GACGAACGCUGGCGGCGUGCUUAACACAUGCAAGUCGAACGGACAGACAGAGAGCUUGCUCUCUUGAAGUUAGUGGCGAACGGGUGAGUAACGCGUAAUCAACCUGCCCUUCAGAGGGGGAUAACAACGGGAAACCGUUGCUAAUACCGCGUACGAUUCAUGAACGGCAUCGUUUAUGAAUGAAAGGUGGCCUCUAUGUAUAAGCUAUAGUUGAAGGAGGGGAAUGCGUCUGAUUAGCGAGGUGGAGGGGUAACGGCCCACCAAGGCAAUGAUCAGUAGCCGGUCUGAGAGGAUGAACGGCCACAUUGGGACUGAGACACGGCCCAAACUCCUACGGGAGGCAGCAGUGGGGAAUCUUCCGCAAUGGACGAAAGUCUGACGGAGCAACGCCGCAUGAGUGAUGAAGGUCUUCGGAUUGUAAAGCUCUGUUAAUCGGGACGAAAGAGUUCUGCGUGAAUAAUGCAGAAAAGUGACGGUACCGGAAUAGAAAGCCACGGCUAACUACGUGCCAGCCGCCGCAGUAA
rnacentral:rRNA from 1 species